rnacentral:rRNA from 1 species
AUAUGUAGUUUUGAGUUUCUUGCUCAGGAUGAACCGCGGCCGGCGUGCCUAAUACAUGCAAGUCGAGCGAACAGAUAAGGAGCUUGCUCCUUUGACGUUAGCGGCGGACGGGUGAGUAACACGUGGGUAACCUACCUAUAAGACUGGGAUAACUUCGGGAAACCGGAGCUAAUACCGGAUAACAUUUGGAACCGCAUGGUUCUAAAGUGAAAGAUGGUUUUGCUAUCACUUAUAGAUGGACCCGCGCCGUAUUAGCUAGUUGGUAAGGUAACGGCUUACCAAGGCGACGAUACGUAGCCGACCUGAGAGGGUGAUCGGCCACACUGGAACUGAGACACGGUCCAGACUCCUACGGGAGGCAGCAGUAGGGAAUCUUCCGCAAUGGGCGAAAGCCUGACGGAGCAACGCCGCGUGAGUGAUGAAGGGUUUCGGCUCGUAAAACUCUGUUAUUAGGGAAGAACAAACGUGUAAGUAACUGUGCAUGUCUUGACGGUACCUAAUCAGAAAGCCACGGCUAACUACGUGCCAGCAGCCGCGGUAAUACGUAGGUGGCAAGCGUUAUCCGGAAUUAUUGGGCGUAAAGCGCGCGUAGGCGGUUUCUUAAGUCUGAUGUGAAAGCCCACGGCUCAACCGUGGAGGGUCAUUGGAAACUGGGAAACUUGAGUGCAGAAGAGGAAAGUGGAAUUCCAUGUGUAGCGGUGAAAUGCGCAGAGAUAUGGAGGAACACCAGUGGCGAAGGCGACUUUCUGGUCUGUAACUGACGCUGAUGUGCGAAAGCGUGGGGAUCAAACAGGAUUAGAUACCCUGGUUAGUCCACGCCGUAAACGAUGAGUGCUAAGUGUUAGGGGGUUCCGCCCCUUAGUGCUGCAGCUAACGCAUUAAGCA